GGGAGCAUCAUCAAUAUGCAGUGAUUCCAAUAACUUGCUUCAUAUUGAUCUGCCUAUUCGCAUUACAACAUUAUGGCACACAUCGAGUUGGUUUUUGUUUUGCACCAAUUGUGAUGACCUGGUUACUCUGCAUUAGUGCUCUUGGGUUAUACAACAUUAUCCACUGGAAUCCACAGGUUUACAAAGCUCUUUCCCCCUAUUACAUGGUAAAGUUCCUGAAGAAAACAAGAAAAGGUGGAUGGAUGUCUUUGGGUGGAAUUCUGCUCUGCAUAACUGGUUCUGAAGCAAUGUUUGCUGAUCUUGGGCAUUUU
rnacentral:misc_RNA from 1 species